CCAUCUCCCCGGAGCCACGCCGCUAGCUGCCGCCUCAUUGGCCGGGGCCCCAGGCCGCCCGCCCCGGCGGCACCGAGCAGCGCCGCGGGACCUGCGCGCGGCCGGGUCGGGCCGGGCCGGGCCGGGCAGCUCUCGGCGGGAAGGAAGGCCCGGCCUGCCGGCCGGCCGGCCGGGCGCGCCAGAACGCUGCCGCCGGCGGAGGUCCUCCGACCCUCCGUUCAGCGCCUGCGGACGCCUCCGGAGCGAGGCACGGGGCCGCGGGGCUCGGCCCGGCGCGGCGACCGGGGGAGCGGAGCCGCCGCACGAGGAGGGGCUGCGAGCGCUGAGCGUGCUCGAGCCGGAGGGGAGACGCUUUGUCUGCUCCAGGAGCUGGGAGGAGACGCGACCGGGACAGUGACCCGAGCUGGCCGUGAAGGGGUGUCCGGAACACACGACGUCACGCGGAGCACCAGCUGGGAAGGAUGGCCGGGGGGCGGCUGCUGCUCAGGAACUGGCCGGGCAAUCGGACGCGCGCGCGGGGUGAGACUGAGGCAGCGAGGAAACGGCUGCGCGGUGCUGAGCUGUGCGGCAGGUUGAAGCUCAGCAGCUGGAGAGGCUCCCGCACUGCCCCGGCAUCGCGGCCAGACCCCAUCGCCUUCCCCUCCCCCGACAGCUGAAGGGCCGCCCCGCUACAUAACCUGCUCCCGUAAAGCUGGCAAGCGCCGUGUGCUUGGGGUGCUGGAAGCAGCCACCGCAGGGCUGGAAACAUAGCUUUCCACCCGGAACGCCAUCCUGGGCUUUGAAAAGCAAGUCUUGUGAGAAAAACCUCAGUGACUUGCUCAGACAGGGUCGUCUGUGAAGCUGUGUUAUUCACGAUUGCAACGGCAGGGGUCCUGCAAGCGGGAGCAACCAGCCAAAGUCUAUCGUAACCUUAUAUUCCCUCUUACCCAACGCUUGAUUCCUCCCGUUUCCUCACUGGCUGAGUACUACAGGUUCACAAGCUACUCAACACUUGUUGCUAUACCAUAUAUAUCCAAUUUUACUUGACCAACUGUUAAUUUCUCCUCCCCCCCCCCCCCCCCCCAAUCUUCUCUUGUGACCGCAGGGCCCACGAUCUCUUGCUUUUACUGAUUUUGCACUGCUCGUCCUGUUUUUCUUACCUAUCCUCCUUAUUUGGGGACAGUGGGACCUUCCCCUUACCUGUUUAAUGUCUUCUCCACUGCUGUGCUGCUGUCAUGCCCGCACAAUCACUUUUGGAUACUCAAGGUUAGUGGAAUUUUCCACCGCAAAAACACAUUCUGCUGCAAAAA